rnacentral:tRNA from 1 species
GGGGUUGUGGCUCAGUGGUAGAGUGCUUGCCUCGCAUGUAUGAGUCACUGGGUUCAAUUUUCAGCACCACA